rnacentral:rRNA from 1 species
GACGAACGCUGGCGGCGUGCUUAACACAUGCAAGUCGAGCGGUAAGGCCCUUUCGGGGGUACACGAGCGGCGAACGGGUGAGUAACACGUGGGUGACCUGCCCUCAGCUCUGGGAUAAGCCUGGGAAACCGGGUCUAAUACUGGAUAUGACUCCAUGACGCAUGUUGUGGGGUGGAAAGCCUUGUGCGGCUGAGGAUGGGCCCGCGGCCUAUCAGCUUGUUGGUGGGGUGAUGGCCUACCAAGGCGACGACGGGUAGCCGGCCUGAGAGGGCGACCGGCCACACUGGGACUGAGACACGGCCCAGACUCCUACGGGAGGGCAGCAGUGGGGAAUCUUGCGCAAUGGGCGAAAGACCUGACGCAGCGACGCCGCGUGAGGGAUGACGGCCU